rnacentral:lncRNA from 1 species
GAAGAUGUGAAAUGGAGCUGAUGUGGUGGGGUAGUAAUGUGAGGUGAUACUCCCCGUUGGACCCACACUGUCUAUCUUGAGGACACUAUGAUAAUGGUUUAAGUGAAGCUGUGCAUGCUGUUCUGUACCUGGUCAACGGUGAUAUGCCAUUAAAUUUAUUGUACAAUACUGUACUUGUAUCCUUAGGCAUAGCUCCAAGUUGUUCAGUUAACUUGUAGGCUUGCAUCCAAUGAUAAACAAGAAGGUUGACUGAACCCUGAGUAAGACACUAAAAUAAUAAAUGCUGUACAGAAACUCUUUUCAUAUAACUGAAGAUUGAUUCUCCUUUGUUAUAAUAGACUUCAAAAGUAAUCUCAAAGUAAUUUUUGUUGUUGUGCAUUAAUUGUUUUUCAUUAUUUGGAUGUUGGGAAUGUCCUCCAAUAAUGUAAUAUGUAAUUAACACAUCAAAGUUAUUAUUUUUUUUCACUUUACAAAAUCUUUGCAACAUUAUUUUUUAUUAUAUUAUUAUAAUACUGAUACUGUACAUUAUUUUAUUUAUCUAGAUUAAAAUUAUUAAUUUCAAUAAAAUCUAGACAUGUUUAAGCUUACAAACAGAAGUUGCUUAACUUGAUAGAAUUUUUCUAACAAUGCUCUUCUCUCUCCUUAAUUUUUUUGUAUAUCUUAUCAUAAAUGCUGUUAAAAUUUGUAUAUGUAUUUAUUGUAUGUACUAUUGGAGUUGUGCAAGCAUUAGAAGGUUAGCUCAGUGAGUGUACAGUAGUUAAAAAAUAUUGAGCACAAAGGCUGCGACUGUAUUCUGUAGGUUAGAUAUUACAAUAUAAGGGUACUGUACCAUUAAUGAUGACAACAGUACCCAAAUAUUUACAUUGUGGACCUCAUUGUGCCAGAGCAUGAAAAUUAGGCCACUAUUAUGUGUAUGUUGAAGCAUACUUGCCAGACAGUACAGAAUGAAAGACCUUCCAGUAUAUUUUAUAUGCAUGCAUAUUUAUUUCUUAAGCACAUAAACAGUUGUGCAUCCAAAGUGGCAUUAUGAAAAACUAUUAUUUGUUUCUAUGUAUGAGGUUUUAUACCAUACGUUCUUCUCUCUCUCUCGCUCUCUCUCUCUCUCUCGCUCUCUCUCUCUCUCUCUCUCUCACUCUCACUCUCCAUGGGACGUCUGUCAUGUACAUCUUGCUAUUAGUCCAUUAAUCAUACAUGUAUACAUUGUGUAUAUUGGUAUAUAUUGGAAUUCUGCCCUAUGGCGCAAUCUUUUUAUUGGUAAGAGCCCUUCUAUAGGGAUUUCUGUGUGAAGCUGUAUAUCACUGUAAAUCUGUGACAUGUAAAAUGUAUGUACACCAAUACUUUUAUUAUUCACAGCCUGAGUGACAGCCUCAGAUAGUCCAUGGCAUUAGCUUUUAUUAUUGAAAACGUGUGAUGAAUUAUACCAGCAUUUAUCUGACAUAUUGACGGAUGGGGCAUGUCGGUCACUCCGCAAUCUAUAUUUUAUCAUAACCAUUUAUUCUUACUUUUAUCAUUAUAAAUAUUCUAAUGCAUAAAAAUUGUAUACCCCUUUUUUUGGCAAUAGAAUAUGUUGUUUAAUACUAAUAAUAAUUUACUGUCAGUUUUGUGUGUUGUUAAAUCAGAUUGGGAAUAAGAGAGGUAUUGGUGUACAGAGUUAUACUACGACUCUGCCCUAUGGUGCAACCCUCGUGCUGGUUAGAGCUCUUGUAUGAUGCCUGUCAGUGUGAAACUGUGUACUAAUAUUUUUGUAUUCUAAUAAAAAUUGUUUGCCCUUA